rnacentral:rRNA from 1 species
AUUGAACGCUGGCGGCAUGCCUUACACAUGCAAGUCGAACGGCAGCACGGGUGCUUGCACCUGGUGGCGAGUGGCGAACAGGUGAGUAAUACAUCGGAACAUGUCCUGUAGUGGGGGAUAGCCCGGCGAAAGCCGGAUUAAUACCGCAUACGAUCUACGUAUGAAAGCGGGGGACCUUCGGGCCUCGCGCUAUAGGGUUGGCCGAUGGCUGAUUAGCUAGUUGGUGGGGUAAAGGCCUACCAAGGCGACGAUCAGUGGCUGGUCUGAGAGGACGACCAGCCACACUGGGACUGAGACACGGCCCAGACUCCUACGGGAGGCAGCAGUGGGGAAUUUUGGACAAUGGGCGAAAGCCUGAUCCAGCAAUGCCGCGUGUGUGAAGAAGGCCUUCGGGUUGUAAAGCACUUUUGUCCGGAAAGAAAUCCUUGGCUCUAAUACAGUCGGGGGAUGACGGUACCGGAAGAAUAAGCACCGGCUAACUACGUG